CUGAAAAACGGCCCAAAUUUGUGAUUGAUUCCACACCCUGCCUUUCACAGUGUUUGCUUUUCAACAUUUAAGAACGCUUUUAAUUUAAAUGUAGUACAUUUUUAAUGUAAUCAUUAUUAAAGUCCAUUUUAUUAUGUAUUCCUAUAUUUAGAUACGUUUAUACUUUUUCCUAUUCCUUUUCGAAUGUUUAAAUGGUCAGGAAUGCUUCCCAAAAAAUAUUUACCUUUGUGUUGAUGAUGUUGUUUGGCUACUUAAAGUUACUGUAAAUAACUUCCAGUGCGCCUCGACCUCACAAUGGUGUCCAAAUUCAUGAAGUCUUGGAAUAGAGCCUUGAAAUCUGAUUUUUGUUUCCAACGAGCAAAAGCUGCUUCAGAUGUCACUUUUGUCGCCUAUAUGACCCUGCUCUUCUUCUCAGCCGUUUUUCUACACGUCUCUUCUACCAGCGGACGACAUUGCUGCCAUCUUGCAAUGGUCCGUUUGACAAUAUACGGUUUUACUCUUUCGGAAACACUCCAAAUUGGAUGAAAUUUGAGUUUUGGGAAGUUCCAUGACACCAAUUUGAGAAGUCAGGGCUACUUUGACUUCAUGCUGACAUCUUCCAGUGAGAAACCAACAGAACAGAAGUUUAAAGCUCGAGGAUUAUCAAAAGACACACACAGAAAGCGGGUCAUCAAUUACACAUCCCAACCAGGGCAGACUCGGGUUUUUUUGAACAUACUGGCAGUGUUAAGAGAGCAUAGGCGGUACAAAACAAAGUGUCAAGCAGUCCUUUCAUCCCCUGCACUCAACAUGUCAUGACAAAACAAAACGGCUCCUUUUCCCUCAUGCCAUCACGUACGCACUCACCAAUGGAGCAAACACGGUCGGAGAUCGUGAUGAUGAGGGGAAGUUGAGAAGAGCAGGAGCAAUUUUGCCUCUAGAGAUCCUUUUGCAGGACAUCCGGAGUUUUACUCCAAACAAUUUUUGUUGCUGUUGUUUCACUCGGGAGGAAGUACAAAGUAAUAUAAGGGCCACCCAGAAAAGAGAAGAAAGCUUCAGGAUUAAAGUCCUAACUUUUGAUGAGAGCAAAGUUGUAUAUUUAUGAUAAAUUCAUACGUUUUCAUGAGAAUAAGGAGAAUAAAGUUGGAGAAUUUCGGGGGGAAAAAAAUACAUUCAAAAUUCAAAUCAUCAUUUGACGAGAAUGAAGACCUAUUUUCGAGAUUAAAGUUGUGUGUUCGAGAUCAAAAAUAAUUGGAGCAAUUCAGAAAGUGUACAUUUUUUGACAAAGUUAUACAUUUUCAUGAAUUGAAACAAUUGAACAAUUGACUGGUUAGCACAUCUGCCGCACAUUAGAGAGGCAUCUGUCUGUCUAUCUCUCGCUCUGUUUCUGUUUGUUUGUUUGUGAAUUGUUCUCAGUGAGUACCCAAAAUGCUGACCAUCCCUCUCACAUUUUGAAAAAAUUAAAAUACAACAGGAAUGAGAUCAUCUCUAAAUUGAGUUCGGCCCAAAUGUUAGUUUUUUUUUUUGUUUGUUUUUUAACAUUGAACUGAGUGCAUUGCGGGUUGCGUGACCUCAACACCUGAACGUGAACGCUUUAAUCCAAGGGUGUCAAACCCAUUUUUCUCGUGGGCCACUUUGCAGUUACAUCUUCCAUCGGAGGGCCAUUACAACAGUGAAACCGAAAUAAUGUUUAAUCAUCACAUCGUAUAAUUACUUGUACGUAACAAAUACAAUUGACAGAUUACUAGUUUUGAAAUAAUUCAAUUGUUGGUUCAAUUAUUGUCCAAGUGAGUGUAAAAAGGGUAAAAAAAAAUAUUAUUGCAAAUUCUCAAUGUUAUUUAUUACACGUGACAAUUUGACAUUUCGGUCCAGAUUUGAGCAAGGAUCAGGGAAGUUGUAACAUGUGAUUAGCUUUCGCGGGCCACAUAAAAAGACUCGGCGGUCCGGAUCUGGCCUCCGGGCCUUGAUUUUGACACCUGUGCAGACAUUGGAUACAAACUUAAAAACGGUCAGUAAACAUGGCUUCGAAAAAAAAA